GGGAAACAGUGUCAACAGUGUACUGGUUUACCACUGGAAUAUAAAUAUAUAUAUAUAUAUAUAUAUAUAGAUAAUUACAUAUUAUAUGGUAAACCAGUACACUGUUGACACUGUUUCCC